rnacentral:ncRNA from 1 species
UUUAAUUCGAUGAAGAGAAGAGUAAGCUUCUAAUCCAUUUACAGAGAGAAGGUACAAUAGCUGAAAGUACUUUUAAAUGAAGAGUUGCUGAAAACCACCUCUGAGUGACUUUAAUAAAGUUCGUUGACUACGUUAUAGUCUUAAAAGUUGGCAUAAUAUUUUUAUGCAAAUUGGGUGGAACCGCGGGUAUAACUCGUCCCUUUU